GACAGCCUUGGAUACCCAAAAACCCCAUUCCAAACAUCUUGAAAUGCAACUCUGGUUUUGUGAAGUCCCUUGUGUUGCUGUAAAGUAAACCAGCCUGCUUCCCCUGCAAGAGGGCCAUGGCUGGCCGUGGGCUCUGUCCUCUUUGAUCCUGAUUCGGGAGGGAAAUGACGUGGAAAGGAGAUGGAAUCUCAGGGCUGGCAUCCAUUUCGCUGGUGGAGACAAACACACUUCCAGAGAUGUGAAAAAUCCCACUUGGUUUAAGUCAUUUUGCUUCCUGCCCAGGACGUCUAAAGGGGCCCUUGUUCUCUGUGAGCUGGUGUGCAUUUUAUGCUGGUAUGAGUGUUGCCAGUGGGGUGGAGGCAGUUGAUUCUGACAAAUAAAUGGUUGCAAAGUCAAUAGUAGCCUAAGGAUGGAUGCACCGCAGCGCCUAUAUCAUUCCCCUCGCCGCAUCUCAUCACGCAGCUAUUUAUCAUCUCACAUCAUCAU